AUAGCGUAUAUUAAAGUUGUUGCAGUUAAAAAGCUCGUAGUUGAACUUCAGGCCUGACCGGGUGGUCCGCCUAACGGCGUGUACUGUCUGGCCGGGCCUUACCUCUUGGUGAGCCGGCAUGCCCUUCACUGGGUGUGUCGGGGAACCAGGACCUUUACCUUGAGAAAAUUAGAGUGUUCAAAGCAGGCUUACGCCGGAAUACAUUAGCAUGGAAUAAUAAAAUAGGACGUGCGGUUCUAUUUUGUUGGUUUCUAGAGUCGCCGUAAUGAUUAAUAGGGAUAGUUGGGGGCAUUUGUAUUGCGUUGCUAGAGGUGAAAUUCUUGGAUUUACGCAAGACAAACUAUUG
rnacentral:rRNA from 1 species